rnacentral:rRNA from 1 species
CCUACGGGGGGCAGCAGUGAGGAAUAUUGGUCAAUGGACGAGAGUCUGAACCAGCCAAGUAGCGUGAAGGAUGACUGCCCUAUGGGUUGUAAACUUCUUUUAUAUGGGAAUAAAAUGUUCCACGUGUGGGAUUUUGUAUGUACCAUAUGAAUAAGGAUCGGCUAACUCCGUACCAGCAGCCGCGGUAAUACGGAGGAUCCGAGCGUUAUCCGGAUUUAUUGGGUUUAAAGGGAGCGUAGGUGGAUUGUUAAGUCAGUUGUGAAAGUUUGCGGCUCAACCGUAAAAUUGCAGUUGAAACUGGCAGUCUUGAGUACAGUAGAGGUGGGCGGAAUUCGUGGUGUAGCGGUGAAAUGCUUAGAUAUCACGAAGAACUCCGAUUGCGAAGGCAGUUCACUGGACUGCAACUGACACUGAGGCUCGAAAGUGUGGGUAUCAAACAGGAUUAGAUACCCUAGUAGUC